rnacentral:rRNA from 1 species
ACUUAAAUUGAAGAGUUUGAUCAUGGCUCAGAUUGAACGCUGGCGGCAGGCCUAACACAUGCAAGUCGAACGGUAACAGGAAGCAGCUUGCUGCUUCGCUGACGAGUGGCGGACGGGUGAGUAAUGUCUGGGAAACUGCCCGAUGGAGGGGGAUAACUACUGGAAACGGUAGCUAAUACCGCAUAACGUCGCAAGACCAAAGAGGGGGACCUUCGGGCCUCUUGCCAUCGGAUGUGCCCAGAUGGGAUUAGCUUGUUGGUGAGGUAACGGCUCACCAAGGCGACGAUCCCUAGCUGGUCUGAGAGGAUGACCAGCCACACUGGAACUGAGACACGGUCCAGACUCCUACGGGAGGCAGCAGUGGGGAAUAUUGCACAAUGGGCGCAAGCCUGAUGCAGCCAUGCCGCGUGUAUGAAGAAGGCCUUCGGGUUGUAAAGUACUUUCAGCGGGGAGGAAGGGGUUGUGGUUAAUAACCGCAGCCAUUGACGUUACCCGCAGAAGAAGCACCGGCUAACUCCGUGCCAGCAGCCGCGGUAAUACGGAGGGUGCAAGCGUUAAUCGGAAUUACUGGGCGUAAAGCGCACGCAGGCGGUCUGUCAAGUCGGAUGUGAAAUCCCCGGGCUCAACCUGGGAACUGCAUUCGAAACUGGCAGGCUUGAGUCUCGUAGAGGGGGGUAGAAUUCCAGGUGUAGCGGUGAAAUGCGUAGAGAUCUGGAGGAAUACCGGUGGCGAAGGCGGCCCCCUGGACGAAGACUGACGCUCAGGUGCGAAAGCGUGGGGAGCAAACAGGAUUAGAUACCCUGGUAGUCCACGCCGUAAACGAUGUCUAUUUGGAGGUUGUGCCCUUGAGGCGUGGCUUCCGGAGCUAACGCGUUAAAUAGACCGCCUGGGGAGUACGGCCGCAAGGUUAAAACUCAAAUGAAUUGACGGGGGCCCGCACAAGCGGUGGAGCAUGUGGUUUAAUUCGAUGCAACGCGAAGAACCUUACCUGGUCUUGACAUCCACAGAACUUUCCAGAGAUGGAUUGGUGCCUUCGGGAACUGUGAGACAGGUGCUGCAUGGCUGUCGUCAGCUCGUGUUGUGAAAUGUUGGGUUAAGUCCCGCAACGAGCGCAACCCUUAUCCUUUGUUGCCAGCGGUCCGGCCGGGAACUCAAAGGAGACUGCCAGUGAUAAACUGGAGGAAGGUGGGGAUGACGUCAAGUCAUCAUGGCCCUUACGACCAGGGCUACACACGUGCUACAAUGGCAUAUACAAAGAGAAGCGACCUCGCGAGAGUAAGCGGACCUCAUAAAGUAUGUCGUAGUCCGGAUUGGAGUCUGCAACUCGACUCCAUGAAGUCGGAAUCGCUAGUAAUCGUGGAUCAGAAUGCCACGGUGAAUACGUUCCCGGGCCUUGUACACACCGCCCGUCACACCAUGGGAGUGGGUUGCAAAAGAAGUAGGUAGCUUAACCUUCGGGAGGGCGCUUACCACUUUGUGAUUCAUGACUGGGGUGAAGUCGUAACAAGGUAACCGUAGGGGAACCUGCGGUUGGAUCACCUCCUUACCUUAAAGAA